GUUCCACCAUAAGCAUAAACCUCCAGAUAGGCCCUGAGGUUCUACAUAAUGAACAUUAUCAAAACCCAUUCUUCUUGUUAAACCUUCCAUAUACUUCUUCUUUUUUCUUGUAUCCAUCAAGAACACAAUGGAGGGGCGAUGUCGACGUAUGAGCUCCAAGAGAGCUCAAACUACCGGGGCUUGCCCAAUUCCCUGGCAGUUUCAAGCUACGAUCCUCAUGGCCCUUGUGGUGGCUUUAGGCUAGCCACCGA
rnacentral:misc_RNA from 1 species